CAUGCAUUUCGAUCGUAGCUCCGUUCUGCUAAGUUGCAAUUUUGUUGGCGGAGAACUUUUUGUGUUUUUAUUUUGCUGCGAAAAUUUUAUUAUUUGCGUGAUUUUUUUUGAAAUUACUAAAAAUGUCAAAAACAACAACACCAUAGCAAUAUGGAAAAUUGACAGAUAUGAUGGAGAGUAAGCCAACGUCCUAAAGAAGAUGUGCAGGCUUUUUGGAAAGAGGUAGCAUCAAAUUUAAAUGCACUUGGUCCUCCACCAAAAGACUCAAAUGCAUGGAGAAAGGUCUGCAUUGACUGGAAGUGAUAUUUGUAUCAAACGCAAGCUAACUAGCCAUAAGAAGGAAAUGAUGAGCACAGGGCGAGGGCAAUGUCGUUCACAACGUAUAAGUCCACUUGAGGAGAAAAUUGUGCGCUUAACGGGGUUGGAAAGGAGUACAAGUGGAAUAAAGAAUACGUACGAUUAUAGCGAUAGCACACAAGACGCAGCCCGAACCUCCGAAAUGGACAUUUCGACACAUUCAGGCGAUGUGCCGUCAACCAGCAGAGCUAGCAGCCAUAACAGAGAGAGAGACAGCCACUUUGACACGGUUGACUGUGCCAUUCCAACAUUGUGGUCUGUGCCAACUCCAUGCUAGUAACUGCCUUCCGCAAAAAAUCUUAAAGCGGAUACUAAAAUGUUAAGCGGAGAUAACGAGGACAAAGUACUUGCCGUCGUUUCUUCCGCAAAAGUAUCUAGGACAUACUUGAAUGCGUCCUUAUUCAGACGAAAGUUUUUUUUGAAUCUAAAUAAGUAAACAAACUGUAAGAAAAUUGUCUACUUUCACGUGCAAUUACUUACAGCCCGUCAUUCAUCUGGAAGGGAUCGCACAUAUCUCGUAACCUUCUCCUUUCAAUUCUCACCCCAGCAUUCUGAGAUGUGCUGCUCUCCUCCUCAACCAGUAAUAUCGCCGCGGAUAAAGAUUCCAUACUUACGCUAAAUAAAAAUAAUAACAAUAUAAAAAUUUUACUUUUAUUUAAUUUCUUUGAACACCAGUAAUUUGUGUAUUUUUGCUUUGUUAUGUUCCAGUUUCACAUAUUUCAAGGCAAACAGCUGAUUUCGAAAGAGUUAUAGCUCUUCCUCUUCUUCUUUCAAUCCAAUUGCAACGCAUGAUACCUAAUUUCGACUCCGGCUUAGCGUAGAGCGGGAACGUAAUCAAAGUGCAUGAUAGGGGUGAACAUUGUUCAAAAUAAAGUUUUCUUACACCUGAAGUAAAAAGAAUAAAUAUACAUAUGUAUACUCGUAUAAUGUUCGCUUACAUUCGAAUAUUAAUAUUCGAAUAUGUUUAUUUAUAUCUGUCAUGUCAACGUAAGAAUCAAUACUUACAGCUGGUCUAAUCCUUUGUUAACGUUUAUAAAAAAAUAUUAUCUAUUUUAGGUAUAUAGUAUCACACGAGAAGUGUCAGUUUGGGCAGUUUCGAUAACGAAGCUUAUAUAUUAUUUUCUAUGAGACAGUGGUUUUGUAAAAGGCCUCGA